rnacentral:rRNA from 1 species
GUCCACACAGUAAACGAUGAAUACUCGCUGUUUGCGAUAUACAGUAAGCGGCCAAGCGAAAGCAUUAAGUAUUCCACCUGGGGAGUACGCCGGCAACGGUGAAACUCAAAGGAAUUGACGGGGGCCCGCACAAGCGGAGGAACAUGUGGUUUAAUUCGAUGAUACGCGAGGAACCUUACCCGGGCUUAAAUUGCAUUUGAAUAUAUUGGAAACAGUAUAGCCGUAAGACAAAAUGUGAAGGUGCUGCAUGGUUGUCGU